UCAAAUACAACGGGUGCAAAACAGUUGCACACGCGGAAUACUCAGGUUAAACUUGACGAGCCUAGCAUAUAACAGAUAUGGCCUCGGAACACUGAGACCGAAAGGUCGAGCGUGAAUCAUAUAGUAGAUAUGAUCAACAUAGUGAUGUUCACCAUUGAAACUACUCCAUCUCACGUGAUGAUCGGACAUGGUUUAGUUGAUAUGGAUCACGUGAUCACUUAGAGGAUUAGAGGGAUGUCUAUCUAAGUGGGAGUUCUUAAGUAAUAUGAUUAAUUGAACUUUAAUUUAUCAUGAACUUAGUCCCGGUAGUAUUAGCAUAUCUAUGUUGUAGAUCAAUAGCUCGCGUUUAGCUCCCAUGUUUAUUUUGAUAUGUUCCUAGAGAAAACUAAGUUGAAAGAUGUUAGUAGCAAUGAUGCGGAUUGGAUCCAUGAUCUGGGGAUUAUCCUCAUUGCUGCACAGAAGAAUUAUGUCCUUGAUGCACCGCUAGGUGACAGACCUAUUGCAGGAGCAAAUGCAGACGUUAUGAACGUUUGGCUAGCUCAAUAUGAUGACUACUUGAUAGUUUAGUGCACCAUGCUUAAAGGCUUAGAAUCGGGACUUCAAAGACGUUUUGAACGUCAUGGACCAUAUGAGAUGUUCUAGGAGUUGAAGUUAAUAUUUCAAGCAAAUACCCGAGUUGAGAGAUAUGAGGUCUCCAACAAGUUCUAUAGCUAAAAGAUGGAGGAGAAUAGCUCAAGCAGUGAGCAUGUGCUCAGAUUUUCUGGGUACUACAAUCGCUUGAAUCAUGGGAGUUAAUCUUCCAGAUAAAAUAGUGAUUGACAGAAUUCUCUAGUCACCAUCACCAAGUUAGUAGAACUUUGUGAUGAACUAUAGUAUGCAAGGGAUGACGAAAACAAUUCCCAAGCUCUUCGCAAUGCUAAAAUCGGCGAAGGUAGAAAUCAAGAAAAACAUCAAGUGUUGAUGGUUGACAAGACCACUAGUUUCAAGAAAAGGGGCAAAGGGAAGAAGGGGAACUUCAAGAAGAACGGCAAGCAAGUUGCUGCUCAAGUGAAGAAGCCCAAGUCUGGACCUAAACCUGAGACUAAGUGCUUAUGCUGCAAAGGAACUGGUCACUGGAAGCGGAACUACCCCAAGUAUUUGGCAGAUAAGAAGGAUGGCAAAGUGAACGAAGGUAUAUUUGAUAUACAGAUUAUUGAUGUGUAUUUUACUAGUGUUCGUAGUAACCCUUCGGUAUUUGAUACUGGUUCAGUUGCUAAGAGUAGUAACUCGAAACGGGAGUUGCAGAAUGAACAGAAACUAGUUAAGGGUGAAGUGACGAUGUGUGUUGGAAGUAGUUCCAAGAUUGAUAUGAUCAUCAUCGCACACUCCCUAUACUUUCGGGAUUAGUGUUGAACCUAAAUAAGUGUUAUUUCGUGUUUGCGUUGAGCAUGAAUAUGAUUUGAUCAUGUUUAUUGCAAUACGGUUAUUCAUUUAAGUUAGAGAAUAAUUGUUGUUCUGUUUACAUGAAUAAAACCUUAUAAGGUUACACACCCAAUGAAAAUGGUUCGUUGGAUCUUGAUCGUAGUGAUACACAUAUUCAUAAUAUUGAAGCCAAAAGAUGCAAAGUUAAUAAUGAUAGUGCAACUUAUUUGUGGCACUGCCGUUUAGGUCAUAUUGGUGUAAAGCGCAUGAAGAAACUCCAUGCUGAUGGGAUUUUAGAAUCACUUGAUUACGAAUCACUUGAUGCUUGCGAACCAUGCCUCUUGGGCAAGAUGACUAAAACGCCGUUCUCCGGAACAAUGGAGCGAGCAACAGAUUUGUUGGAAAUCAUACAUACUGAUGUAUGUGGUCCGAUGAAUAUUGAGGCUCGCGGCAGGUAUCGUUAUUUUCAGACCUUCCAGAUGAUUUGAGCAGAUAUGGGUAUAUCUACUUGAUGAAACAUAAAGUCUGAAACAUUUGAAAAUUUCAUAUAAUUUCAGAGUGAAGUAGAAAAUCAUCGUAACAAGAAAAUAAAGUUUCUACGAUCUGAUCGUGGAGGAGAAUAUUUGAGUUACGAGUUUGGUCUUCAUUUGAAACAAUGCGGAAUAGUUUCGCAACUCACGCCACCUGGAACACCACAGCGUAAUGGUGUGUCCGGACGUCAUAACCGUACUUUAUUAGAUAUGGUGCGAUCUAUGAUGUUUCUUACCAAUCUACCACUAUCGUUUUGGGGUUAUGCAUUAGAGAUAGCUGCAUUCACGUUAAAAAGGGCACCAUCUAAAUCCAUUGAGAUGACACCUUAUGAACUGUGGUUUGGCAAGAAACCAAAGUUGUAGUUUCUUAAAGUUUGGGGUUGCGAUGCUUAUAAGAAAAAGUUUCAUCCUGAUAAGCUCAAACCCAAAUCUGAGAAAUGUGUCUUCAUAGGAUACCCAAAGGAGACAGUUGGGUACACCUUCUAUCACAGAUCCGAAGGCAAGACAUUCGUUGCUAAGAAUGGAUCCUUUCUAGAGAAGGAGUUUCUCUCGAAAGAAGUGAGUGGGAGGAAAGUAGAACUUGAUGAGGUAACUGUACCUGCUCCCUUAUUGGAAAGUAGUUCAUCACAGAAAUCUGUUCCUGUGACUACUAUACCAAUUAGUGAGGAAGCUAAUGAUGAUGAUCAUGUAACUUCAGAUCAAGUUACUACCGAACCUCGUAGAUAAACCAGAGUGAGAUCCGCACCAGAGUGGUACGGUAAUCCUGUUCUGGAGGUCAUGUUACUUGACCAUGAUGAACCUACGAACUAUGAGGAAGCGAUGAUAAGCCCAGAUUCCGCGAAAUGGCUUGAGGCCAUGAAAUCUGAGAUGAGAUCCAUGUAUGAGAACAAAGUAUGAACUUUGAUUGACUUGCCCAAUGAUCGGCGAGCCAUUGAGAUUAAAUGGAUCUUCAAGAGGAAGACGGACGCUGAUAGUAGUGUUACUAUCUACAAAGCUAGAAUUGUCGCAAAAGAUUUUUGACAAGUUCAAGAUGUUGACUACGAUGAGAGUUUCUCACUCGUACCUAUGCUUAAGUCUGUCCGAAUCAUGUUAGCAAUUGCCGCAUUUUAUGAAAUCUGGCAAAUGGAUAACAAAAACUGCAAUCCUUAAAUGGAUUUAUUAAAGAAGAGUUGUAUAUGAUGCAACCAGAAGGUUUUGUCAAUCCUAAAGGUGCUAACAAAAUAUGCAAGCUCCGGCGAUCCAUCUAUGGACUGGUGUAAGCAUCUCGGAGUUGGAAUAUACGCUUUGAUAAGUUGGUCAAAGCAUAUAGUUUUAUACAGACUUGCGGUGAAGCCUGUAUUUACAAGAAAGUGAGUGGGAGCACUACAGCAUUUCUGAUAAGUAUAUGUGAAUGACAUAUUGUUGAUCGGAAAUAAUGUAGAAUUAUUCUGCAAAGCAUAAAGGAGUGUUUGAAAGGAGUUUUUCAAAGAAAUACCUCGGUGAAGCUGCUUACAUAUUGAGCAUCAAGAUCUAUAGAGAUAGAUCAAGACGCUUGAUAAGUUUUUUCAAUGAGUACAUACCUUGACAAGAUUUCGAAGUAGUUCAAAAUGGAACAGUCAAAGAAAGAGUUCUUGCAUGUGUUACAAGGUGUGAAAUUGAGUAAGACUCAAUGCCAGACCACGGCAGAAGAUAGAAAGAGAAUGAAAGUCAUUCCCUAUGCCUUGGCCAUAGGUUCUAUAAAUUAUGCCAUGUUGUGUACCAGAUCUAUUGUAUACCCUACACUGAUUUUGGCAAGGGGGUACAAUAGUGAUCUAAGAGUAGAUCACUGGACAGCGGUCAAAAUUAUCCUUAGUGGAAUAAGGAUAUGUUUCUUGAUUAUGGAGGUGACAAAAAGGGUUCGUCGUAAAGGGUUACGUCGAUGCAAAUUUUGACACUGAUCCAGAUGGCUCUAAGUCUCAAUCUGGAUACAUAUUGAAAGUGGGAGCAAUUAGCUAGAGUAGCUCCGUGCAGAGCAUUGUAGACAUAGAAAUUUGCAAAAUACUUACGGAUCUGAAUGUGGCAGGCCCGUUGACUAAAAUUAUCUCACAAGCAAAACAUGAUCACACCUUAGUACUCUUUGGGUGUUAAUCACAUAGCGAUGUGAACUAGAUUAUUGACUCUAGUAAACCCUUUGGGUGUUGGUCACAUGACGAUGUGAACUAUGGGUGUUAAUCACAUGGUGAUGUGAACUAUUGGUAUUAAAUCACAUGGUGAUGUGAACUAGAUAAUUGACUCUAGUGCAAGUGGGAGACUGAAGGAAAUAUGCCCUAGAGGCAAUAAUAAAGUUAUUAUUUAUUUCCUUAUAUCAUGAUAAAUGUUUAUUAUUCAUGCUAGAAUUGUAUUAACCGGAAACAUAAUACUUGUGUGAAUACAUAGACAAACAGAGUGUCACUAGUAUGCCUCUACUUGACUAGCUCGUUGAUCAAAGAUGGUUAUGUUUCCUAGCCAUUGACAUGAGUUGUCAUUUGAUUAACAGGAUCACAUCAUUAGGAGAAUGAUUUGAUUGACUUGACCCAUUCUGUUAUCUUAGCACUCGGUCGUUUAGUAUGUUGCUAUUGCUUUCUUCAUGACUUAUACAUGUUCCUAUGACUAUGAGAUUAUGCAACUCCCGUUUACCGGAGGAACACUUUGUGUGCUACCAAACGUCACAACGUAACUGGGUGAUUAUAAAGGUGCUCUACAGGUGUCUCCGAAGGUACUUGUUGGGUUGGCGUAUUUCGAGAUUAGGAUUUGUCACUCCGAUUGUCGGAGAGGUAUCUCUGGGCCCACUCGGUAAUGCACAUCACUUAAGCCUUGCAAGCAUUGCAACUAAUGAGUUAGUUGCGGGAUGAUGUAUUACGGAACGAGUAAAGAGACUUGCCGGUAACGAGAUUGAACUAGGUAAUGAGAUACCGAUGAUCGAAUCUCGGGCAAGUAACAUACCGAUGACAAAGGGAACAACGUAUGUUGUUAUGCGGUCUGACCGAUAAAGAUCUUCGUAGAAUAUGUGGGAGCCAAUAUGAGCAUCCAGGUUCCGCUAUUGGUUAUUGACCGGAGACGUGUCUCGGUCAUGUCUACAUAGUUCUCGAACCCGUAGGGUCCGCACGCUUAAAGUUUCGAUGACAGUUAUAUUAUGAGUUUAUAUGUUUUGAUGUACCGAAGGUUGUUCGGAGUCCCAGAUGUGAUCACGGACAUGACGAGGAGUCUCGAAAUGGUCGAGACAUGAAGAUUGAUAUAUUGGAAGCCUAUGUUUGGAUAUCGGAAGUGUUCCGGGUGAAAUCGGAAUUUUACCGGAGUACCGGGAGGUUACCGGAACCCCCCGGGGGUUUAAUGGGCCAUAGUGGGCCUUAGUGGAAGAGAGGAGAGGCGGCCAGGGCAGGGCCGCGCGCCCCUCCCCCCUAGUCCGAAUAGGACAAGGAGAGGGGGNNNNNNNNNNNNNNNNNNNNNNNNNNNNNNNNNNNNNNNNNNNNNNNNNNNNNNNNNNNNNNNNNNNNNNNNNNNNNNNNNNNNNNNNNNNNNNNNNNNNNNNNNNNNNNNNNNNNNNNNNNNNNNNNNNNNNNNNNNNNNNNNNNNNNNNNNNNNNNNNNNNNNNNNNNNNNNNNNNNNNNNNNNNNNNNNNNNNNNNNNNNNNNNNNNNNNNNNNNNNNNNNNNNNNNNNNNNNNNNNNNNNNNNNNNNNNNNNNNNNNNNNNNNNNNNNNNNNNNNNNNNNNNNNNNNNNNNNNNNNNNNNNNNNNNNNNNNNNNNNNNNNNNNNNNNNNNNNAAAAGGGAGGGAGUCCUACUCCCGGUGGGAGUAGGACUCCUCCUGGCGCGCCCCUUCUGGCCGGCCGCACCUCUCCCCCUUGCUCCUUUAUAUACGGGGGCAGGGGGCACCCUAGAGACACAACAAUUGAUUUGAUCUUUUAGCUGUGUGUGGUGCCCCCCUCCACCAUAGUCCACCUCGAUAAUACUGUAGCGGUUCUUAGGCGAAGCCCUGCGUCGGUAGAACAUCAUCAUCGUCACCACGUCGUCAUGCUGACAAAACUCUCCCUCAACACUCGGCUGGAUCGGAGUUCGAGGGACGUCAUCGGGCUGAACGUGUGCUGAACUCGGAGGUGCCGUGCGUUCGGUACUUGAUCGGUCGGAUCGUGAAGACGUACGACUACAUCAACCGCGUUGUGCUAACGCUUCCGCUUUCGGUCUACGAGGGUACGUGGACAACACUCUCCCCUCUCGUUGCUAUGCAUCACCAUGAUCCUGUGUGUGCGUAGGAAAUUUUUUGAAUUACUACGUUCCCCAACAAGGUGUUCUAACAUAGCUUUUGUUAACCACAGUUGAAACUUUAGCAUGUUCCUUUAUCCUAACAGGAAAAGUGGUUUCUCAAUAUAAGCAGAAGGGACAACUGGAUCAACAUUAUACAGUAUAGUUUCUUCUUUACCCGGUACCGGUUCUUUGAUUUCAUCUUUAAUAGGUGGGUGAUAUUUAAACCACUUCUCUCUAGGGAGUUCAACAUGAGUAGCAAAUGAUUCACAAAAGGAGGCUACUAUCUCAGAGUCAAGUCCAUAUUUAGUGCUAAACUUAUGAAAAGCAUCGGUAUCCAUAAAAGAUUUAACACAAUCAUAUUUAAGCUUAAUACCUGACUCUUUACCUUCAUCGAGUUCCCAAUCUUCAGAGUUGCGUUUAAUUCUUUCCAAAAGAUCCCACCGGAAUUCAAUAGUUUUCUUCAUAAAAGAACCAGCACAAGAAGUAUCCAGCAUAGUUUGAUCAUUACGAGAAAGCCGAGCAUAAAAGUUCUGAAUAAUAAUUUCUUUUGAGAGCUCAUGAUUGGAGUAUGAAUAUAACAUUGACUUAAGCCUCCCCCAAGCUAGAUCGAUACUUUCUCCUUCACGAGGCCAAAAAUUAUAUAUAUAAUUCCGAUCACGAUGAACUAGAUGCAUAGGAUAAUUUUUUUGGUGGAACUCCAAUUUUAAACGAUUCCAAUUCCAUGAUCCAAUAUCAUCGCAUAGCCUAUACCAUGCCAAUGCUUUUCCCUUCAAAGAUAAAGGGAAAACCUUCUUCAUCACCUCAUCUCCGGGUAAACCUGCAAGCUUGAACAAUCCACAAAUUUGUUCACAUAUAUCAAGUGCAUAUCAGGAUGUUCUGUUCCAUCUCCUGCAUAAGGAUUAGCUAGCCGUUGUUCUGUCAUACCCGAGAAUUUCAUAUUCAAUGUUUUCAGUAGGUGCAGUAGGUUGAGGGGCAAUUAAUUGUAGUUCUAGACGAGGUGAAGAUACCCCGAACAAACCCCUCAAAGGAUUGUUUUCCAUGGUAGCAAGUAACAAUAAAUUUCAGCACACUAUAUAAAUGUUUCCUUACCAAAUUCCACUUACCAAAGGCGCUUCACUCCCCGGCAACAGCGCCAGAAAAUAGCCUUGAUGACCCACAAGUAUAGGGGAUCAAUGUUAGCUCUUUUCGAUAAGUAAGAGUGUCGAACCCAAUGAGGAGCAGAAGGAAAUGACGGGUAGUUUUCAGUAAGGUAAUGUCAGCAAGUGCUGAAAAUGUAAGUAGCGAGUAGUUUGAUAGCAAGAUAAUUUGUAACGAGCAAAUAACGAUAGUAGCAAUAAGUAUGCAGCAAGGUAGCCCAAUCCUUUUGAGGCAAAGGACAGGCCAAAACGGUCUCUUAUGAUAAGCAAAGCGUUCUUGAGGGUACACGGGAAUUUCAUCUAGUCACUUUCAUCAUGUUGGUUUAAUUCGUGUUCGCUACUUUGAUAAUUUGAUAUGUGGGUGGACCAGUGCUUAGGUGCUAUUCUUACUUGAACAAACCUCCUACUUAUGAUUAACCCUCCCGCAAGCAUCCGCAACUAUGAGAAAAGUAUUAAGAAUAAAUUCUAACCAUAGCAUUAAACUCUUGGGUCCAAUCGGUCCCUUACGGAAUAGCGCAUAAACUGGGGUUUAAGCUUCUGUCACUCUCAUAACCCACCAUCUAUUUACUACUCCACAAUGCAUUCCCUUAGGCCCAAAUAUGGUGAAGUGCCAUGUAGUCGACGUUCACAUGACACCACUAAGGGAAUCACAACAUACAUACCAUCAAAAUAUCGAACACAUAUCAAAUUCACAUGAUUACUUGCAACAUGAUUUAUCCCGUGACCUCAAGAAUGAAAGUAACUACUCACAAAUAAUAAACAUGCUCAUGAUCAGAGGAGUAUUAAAUAGCAUCAUGGAUCUGAACAUAUAAUCUUCCACCAAAUAAACCAUAUAGUAAUCAACUACAAGAUGUAAUCAACACUACUAGUCACCCCCUAGCACCAAUCUAGUUCCGGUAACAAGAUUGAAUACAAGAGAUGAACUAGGAUUUGAGAUGAGAUGGUGCUGGUGAAGAUGUUGAUGGAGAUUGCCCUCCCCAAGAUGGGAGAGUUGUUGCUGAUGAUGAUGACGAUGAUUUCCACCUCCGGAAGGGAAGUUCCCCGGCAGAAUCGCUCCGCCAGAGGGCAAAAGUGCUCCUACCCAAGUUCCGCCUCGAGACGGCGGCUCUCCGCCCCGAAAGUCUUCCCCUUAUUUUUUUUAGGUAAAAAUGAGUUAUAUACCAGAAGAUGGGCACCGGAGGUGGGCCGAGGGGGCUACUACCCACCAUGGCGCACCUGGGCUACCUGGCGCGCCCAGGUAGGUUGUGCCCACCUGACCCCCCUCUGGUACUUAUUGGCUCCAAUAAUUCUUAUAUACUCCAUAAAAAAUCUCUGUAAAGUUUCAACUUGUUUGGAGUUGUGCAGAAUAGGUGGCCUGACGUAGCUUUUUCAGGUCCAGAUUUUCAGCUGCCGAAAUUCUCCCUCUUGGUGUGUACCUUGCAAAUUAUGAGAUAAAAGGCAUUAUAAUUACUCCAAAAAGCAUUAUUAUGAAUAAAAACAUUAUAAAUAACAGUAAGAAAACAUGAUGCAAAAUGGACGUAUCACUGCUUCGGAAGCAGCAAAUGAAGGAGUCUGGAUGAAGGAGUUCAUAUCCGAUCUAGAUGUAAUACCUAGUGAAUCGGUUCCAAUGAAAAUCUUUUGUGACAACUAAUAUAAACGUGCCCGUGCGUUGCAACGGGAAGAACACACGGUCAUAAUCCAAUAAUCAUGACUUAUAACCCCUUACUCCCACGCACACAUAUGUUAUCUAGGACCUCCUUCUCAGUAUGACAGCCCACCGGUUCUGACGCUUAUCCUCUUUUCCUUGAAUUCAGUAUUCGAUUAAUUUUUGAUAAAUCGAAUUCAAUAUUCUCAAGAUAUGCAGAAGUUUUUCAAAAAUUAUGAAAAUAAAAAACAAAUUGAUUGCUUGCAAAUUAUAGUUUGCUCCAAAAAUAGAAUAACCAACUAAGUAUGAUUAAUUAAUCAUGUUAAACUAACAAUAGAAUUAGGUAAACAUUGUCGUGGGUAUCUACCUAAGCAAUACAAAAUAAGCAUUAACAUACUCUAAAUAUUCAAAAGGUAAAUGUUUGAAACACACAAUCUUUUACAUUGAUUUUGCUGAAAAUUUAUGUAUUUUUUGGAUAUGGAAGGAGAAAUUAUAAGACCUAAAAAACUAUGGAGAGGCAAAUCACUUACAUGAGUUUAGAUGCAAAGACUCAAGUCGAAUCAAGAAUAGCAAUCCAUUUUUCACCGUGAUCAAUAAUGCGACCAUACCGGUAUUGGUAGUAGUUAAAAUCAUUUAAAAAUUUGAGAUGGUACAUUCCAAAUCCUAUAUGUGAUCCACAUACCAAUAUUAUGAUACACUUGCUCAUAUAGCUUUUCUGUGAGCUCCACGUGCAUAGUACGCCUAUUCAAUGAGUGUCCUAGUAUACUCCUUAGAGAACAGAAUGAAUACAAAUUUGCAUUUUUUUUACUAAAAUAGCAACCAUGGGAUAAAAACAUAUAUCACCCAUUGCAUCGAGAAAGAAGUAUUGAUGAUCACCAAAAAAAGAUAUUGAAGUGGCCAUGAGCCCAGAUAUAGAAUUGUAAGAUGCUAAUAAUGUAUGCAGAUUUAUAUUCCUCUAUAUAUUUUCAUUAUCCCUCUCAUCGGAAUAUAAGAUGCUAUACAAUUUAGCAUGUAUAAUAUGUGCAAAGUUAGCAAGUAGCCAGCUAUAAAUAUUGGUCUAAAAUAAGGAUAGGGUAAUAAAACGCAAGACAUGCUACACCUCUUAAUCUUCGUUUCUUUAAGCCCUUUAGCCUAGCAAUAAGCCACAUCGAGUGUAGUGAGGAAGAUUAGAUGAACAAUGCUACAUCUUAUAAAAAUAUUUUCCUCACACAAGACCGUCUGCCUGUAAUGUGUUUAUCCUGAUUCGCAAAAAAAGUUUUAUCCUGAAUUUCGUCCAUAAACAGCGAGCAUAAACAAUUAUAAAUCUAUGGAAAUUAGUAUUGUAAAUCUGUAAUCUUAUCAUCUUAGUGAUGCACAACCAAAUAUAAAGCUAGCUGAGGGUGGCCGUUCUGAUGUUGCUUGGCUAGCUUUCUAUAUAACAAAGGUUCAGUAUAGAAUUUUGAUAUACCUCAAUUAGCCCAGCAUAAUGGUCCCGUGAGGAAUGAAAUAGGCAACCGGGAGGCUGAUAUGCUUACACACCAUCAACAUAAGAUAGUUUCUCAUAAACUACAUCUGUGUAUGACCAUGGGUAACAUCCGAAUUCCUCAAAUCAGUAGGUAUUCUGCAGACUUGAUUCUCCAUAAAAAUAUGACAAACAUGCACACCUCUAGAGUUCUUUCUUCUCUGAAAAAUCUGAAAAUGUACCAAGAUCUGAUUAUAGAAUAUAAAAAAUUGAUCCGUUGAAUAAGAAAUUCGUACGAAUAUGCAUGACAAAAGCUGAGAUCUCAAUUGUUCAUUUCUAACGAAAUUUGAGUCACACCUCAAAUCUUCAGGCAGAGGUAGUUUGUUGUAGGCACAAUCAUAAAUUUGCUAGAACCCUGUCGUGCAAAUUACCAACAGAAAAUUUGACUUCCUUUAUCUAUUGGAGGCUUACUGGAUUCAAUAUCCAUCUAACAUCCUCAAAAGAUGAGGUUGUUGGGGAGUUCUCUAUGAAUCGGAGCCUGCUCCAAAGCCUGUUGUGCAGUGAUCCUACGAUCAAACAGAAAGGUACAUUCUGUAAUAUGUAUUAUUAAAGAACUGAUGGACCAUUCAGUUUUCUCUAAUGCGAUGAAUUUUUCAACCAUUACCAAUGCACAGACCUUUGAUGAUUCAACUCACAUUAACCAUGUAAAUAUUCAGAGCAGUGGGGUACCUUGUUGUCGACCAUUAGAGAAACUUCUAGUUAUGCCUCACCGGCCAGUCUCCACACGACACCACUGCCCUCUCCUUGUCCUUCUUCUUUGCUCUCUCCCUUUUUGAACUCUUCUCUCUCGCUGGGAAGCAACUCCCAUGACGCUUUUUGCAGGCAAGUAGCUUAACAACACUAAUGAGACUGAAUGUGCAAACUACAGGAGCACCAAGAUACAGGGAUAUUACUGUCGGACGCGACCGUCAACAAAUUCAACUCUAGUGUUAAUAAUUGUUGCCCGUAGGAAAUAAACCAUCCUCUUUAAUAGUUCGUUGCCUCAUUUGUAGAAGUCAAAGUCUGUCUAAGGCUUCUUGACGUUGGUUCGGUAACCCUUCUCGAAGUCCUUGGGCAGGAUAACAUUACCGAUUUUUGCGGAUAAUAGGCGUGCCAGCUUCCUGUCAAAUAGCAGCAGACCGAAAACGAAUGUCACAGCGAAUAACAUACAGGAGGAGGCAGAAAAGGUGUGCCUAAUUUACACAAGCAAUUACAUAACAUCUCAUAAUCAGGCGUUGCUACUGCUAUUAUAGGUGUCAAUAUAUAUGAAACAAAUGUAUGGUUAGCAGGAGGCCACCCGUCGAAAGAAUUAACAUGACAAAAGGGCCAUCAGCUUUCCCCCAAAAAUGACAGAUCCGCUGCUUACUGCUCACGAAAACAUCUGACCUUAUGGUCAAGUCGUCCGCCUAUAUUUCUGAUCUCAUUCGUUUUCCGCAUUUACUGAUAAGCUUUUAAGAGUAAAUGAUUUAGAAAUCAUUAUCAUUUUCUAAUUAAGCUGAGGCAAUGAAAUUUCCUAUGCUGAAGUUGUACAAGUGAGAAAGGAUGUUCACGAUAAUGAAAAGGCACUCACAUCAUCAGCAUUGAUUUUAUCCUGUCUGGAGACAAUCUUCCAAAUCAACUCACAUUAGCAGCACUGAUUUUAUCCUGUCUGGAGACAUGAUCUUCCAAAUCAACCUCGUCACUCAAGUUCAUCCUAGCAUACAAACAAAUCAACCUCGUCACUCAAGUUUAUCUUAGCAUACAAACCUGAAAGAAAGGAGGUCAUCCUAAUUAUCAGAUGCAAACAAAACAUGAUCUCAGAAAGGAUCAAGAAACUAAUAUAUUCAAUAGUUAAAUUGAGCAGACCGCAACCAUUGCGAUGCUCCUGCUUGCUGAAGUUGUGGAGGUCGGAUUGAAGGCGUGGUGGUGGUGGACCAUGACCAGCACGGAUCGGUGGACUCCGUCCUAGGGGCAGCGCACACCCCGACCUCAACGCUCGAGCUCCUCCCGAGGAGAGACGCCGCCGCCGUGAGCCAUGUCUCCUGCCCGAGCCAUUCGCCUGCAUCCGCGAGUGCGCGCGCCGGAGAAGAUUAGGAGAGGAUGGGGAGGGGAAGAAGAACAGGGCGACGGAGGGGGAGAAGACCGGGGGAGGGCGGAGAGGGCCGGCAGCGGCGGAGGCUAGAGAGGAACGGCGGCGGAGUUGGCGGAUCCGCAGCGGCGAGCGGUGGUGGGGCGACGAUGGGGCGAGGGCAGCGGCGGAUCCACUCGUGAGAAGGAGAGGCGCUCGGGCUAUUGGGGACUCCGGGUUGAUUCUUAAAGAGGUCAGCGACUUUUUUGCAACAACGAAGCGUUUUUCCCAGUUCCACUUAAAAAAGGAGUGCGGGUUCAAUUAUCAAAAGGCACAGGGACUUUAUUGCAAAAACGGCACGACGGUGAACCCAACGGACUCAACCCGUGCUUUAUUAUUGGCCACUGCUAGGCGUAAGCCGACUCAUCCUGGGAAAGGAUCAGCCGCCUCGCCAGCCAUAGAUUCGCCCUGAUUAGGACGGUUUGAUCUCCCGUGGAGUUGACCACGUCCUUGCUCCAACCCCACCUGUUCAUUCUUUCCGCAACAGCUCCGGCUCCCAGCGCAUGCUCGCGCGUAGCUCCGGCCAGGGCACCAGCUUGCCGUCCCGUAGCACCCGCACCGGCAAAGCUUGAAUGACAGCCCAGCGAAGCGACAUUGCAGCCCCGACGACCCGGCGACGCUUCAACACAGCAGCGGUGACGCCCAGUGAAGCUCCAGCUGUGCAGCUCCGGCCUCGGCGGCGCUCCAUUGCAGCCCCGGCAACCCCGACGGCGCUUCAACGCAGCACCGGCGACCCUCCGUGAGGCUUCAUUGCAGCCCGGCGACUCCGGCAGCGCUCCAUUGCAGCUCCGGCGGCGCUCCAUUGCAUGGACGGCGAAGUUUAAACGACCCCGGCGACCCGUCAUUGCAGCCCCGGCGACCUCGGCGGUGCUUCAAUACAGCACAGGCGAUGCUCCAAUGCAACAUCAACGGCCUGUCGAUGCUCCAUAGCAACUCCGGCGCCCCCCGGCGAUGCUCCAUAGCAACACCGGUGUGUUGCGUUGCAGCUCUGGUGCCGGCCACUAUGCCCCCAUUGCACUGCAGCUCUGUCACUCACCGGCGUGUUGCACUGUAGCUCCGCCGACGGCACACAACACCAUGGUCGUUGCCCUGCGUCUCCGUCGCCGACGCGCAACACCAUGGCCGUUGCGCUGCAGCUCCUCCGCUCACCACCCGCGUUGCAGCUCCUCCGCUCACCACCCACAUUGCAGCUCCGCCGUCGCCGCGUAGCGGCACGCCCAUUGGGUUGUAGCUCCACCGCCCACCGAAGGAGCAGCCCGCGCUCCCGCCUCACAGCGCCGAGCCCGCCUUGCAGAACUGCUACGGCUUAUGCUGCGCCGCAACAUCGACUUUGCAGCGCCGGUGGCCGGGAUGGGAAGAAGUCGUGCUUCGUCCUCCUUGCAUCGUCGGUGGCCGAUGCGGUCUCGAUGUUUCGUCACCGGGGGAGAAAGUGGGGAUACAAAAGAGAGAGCGGCUGUUGGGGAGAUAAGGUGGAGAGAGCUCCGAACGAUGCCGACCUCUUUGUGGUGGCCGGCCUUAUGGGAGAGAGAGCCGAGAGGAAGAGGUUGGGGAUAACAGAGGCGACAGAGGUAGGAGACGGAGGAGACGAAAGGAAAAACGAGUGGCUGUUGGGGAGAUAAGGUUGCGCGAGCGAUGGGUGGGUCUGAUAGAGACACGUGGAGGGCGCAGCACGCGGCUUAUUUUCUGAGAAAUCAGUCGGAUGAAAAAAAUACUUUUCCUUUAUUAUCAGGGAAAGAUACUGGAGCAAUUGCCUUGGCGAAGGAAUCCAGAUUUCACAAAAGAACCAAACACAUCAAGAGACGCUUCAACUCCAUCCGUGAUCAAGUCAAGGAGGGAGACAUAGAGAUUUGAAAAAUACAUAUGGAUCUGAAUGUGGCAGACCCGUUGACUAAGCCUCUUCCACGAGAAAAACAUGAUCAGCACCAAGACUUCUUGGGUGUGUUAGAAUCAUUACAUUGUAAUCUAGAUUAUUGACUCUAGUGCAAGUGGGGGACUGAAGGAAAUAUGACCUAGAGGCAAUAAUAAAGUUGUUAUUUUAUAUUUCCUUAUAUCAUGAUAAAUGUUUAUUAUUCAUGCUAGAAUUGUAUUAACCGAAAACUUGAUACAUGUGUGGAUACAUAGACAAAACACGGUGUCCCUAGUAAGCCUCCACUAGACUAGCUCGUUAAUCAAAGAUGGUUAAGUUUCCUAACCAUAGACAUGUGUUAUUAUUUGAUGAACGGGGUCACAUCAUUAGGAGAAUGAUGUGAUGUACAAAACCCAUCCGUUAGCUUAGCAUAAUGAUCGCUAAGUUUUGUUGCUAUUGCUUUCUUCAUGACUUAUACAUAUUCCUUGGACUAUGAGAUUAUGCAACUCCCGGAUACCGGAGGAAUACCUUGUGUGCUAUCAAACGUCACAACGUAAAUGGGUGAUUAUAAAGAUGCUCUACCGGUAUCUCCGAAGGUGUUUGUUGGGUUGGCAUAGAUCGAGAUUAGGAUUUGUCACUCCGAGUAUCGGAGAGGUAUCUCUAGGCCCUCUUGGUAAUGCACAUCAUGAUAAGCCUUGCAAGCAAUGUGACUAAUGAGUUAGUUGCGGGAUGAUGCAUUACGGAAUGAGUAAAGAGACUUGCCGGUAACGAGAUUGAACUAGGUAUGAAGAUACCGACGAUCGAAUCUCAAGCAAGUAACAUACCGAUGACAAAGGGAAUAACGUAUGUUGUCAUUGCGGUUCGACCGAUAAAGAUCCUCGUAGAAUACGUGGGAGCCAAUAUGAGCAUCCAGGUUCCGCUAUUGGUUAUUGACCAGAGAAGUGUCUCGGUCAUGUCUACAUAGUUCUCGAACCCGUAGGGUCCGCACGCUUAACGUUCGAUGACGAUUUGUAUUGUAUGAGUUAUGUGAUUUGGUGACCGAAUAUUGUUCGGAGUCCCGGAUGAGAUCACAGACAUGACGAGGAGUCUCGAAAUGGUUGAGAGGUAAAGAUUGAUAUAUUGGAUGAUAGUAUUCGGACACCAGAAAUGUUCCGGAGUGUCUCGGGUUCAUAUCGGAGUACCGGGGGGUUACCGGAACCCCCGGGGGGAAGAUAUGGGCCAUAUGGGCCAUAGGAGGGAGGCACACCAGCCCACAAAGGGGUGGCGCGCCCCCCACAGGGAAGGGGACCGAAUUGGACUGGGGGAGGGGGAGGCGCCCCCCUUUCCUUCUCCCCCCCUCUCUCUCUCUUUCCCCCUUUCCCUCUCGGGUAAAAGGAAAGGGGGGGGGGGCGAAUCCAACUAGGAGCCCAAGUAGGAUUCCUCUUAGUUGGGCGCGCCUAGGGCCGGCCUCCUCCCCCUCCCUCCUUUAUAUACAUGGGGGGCGCCUACAACACACAUCAAUUGUUUCAAGCCGUGUGUGGCGCCCCCCUUCACGGUUUACACCUCCGGUCAUAUUCACGAAGUGCUUAGGCGAAGCCCUGCGCGGAUCAUUUCACCAUCACCGUCACCACGCCGUCGUGCUGACGGAACUCUCCCUCGACACUUUGCUAGAUCAAGAGUUCGAGGGACGUCAUCGAGCUGAACGUGUACAGAACUCGGAGGUGCCGUACGUUCAUUGCUUGAUCGGUCGGGUUGAGAAGAAAUUCGACUACAUCAACCGCGUUGUCAAAUGCUUCCGCUUUCGGUGUACGAGGGUACGUGGACACACUCUCCCCCUCUCGUUGCUAUGCAUCUCAUAGAUAGAUCUUGCGUGAGCGUGAGAAUUUUUUUGAAAUUGCAUGCUACGUUCCCCUACAGUUUGACUAUGUUAUCUGGACAGUCAUAAUAAUUACGCUACGACGUUCGCGGCAAAAAAAAAGGGUCUAACAGAAUUGUCAUACGCGCAUAUACUCGCCCCGGCCUCUAUAAUUUUUGAAGGCCGCUCCAAAUAAUGGGACGCAACCUCCAAAUUUUGAGAAUGAGGCCGCUCAUAUGGAGUGAGCUGCAAACCCAAUCGCACGCUGGUUGGAAAUUUCAGCCCGUUCUUCCUCUUUCUCUCCCUUUCUUCUGAGUCCGUACCAAUCACGCGGUCGUGUUUCUUACUGAAAAACGUGUCCCUUAGUGGCCAGCAGGGAGACUAGUGACCUUUUUGUAUUCGUUACUAACGCUUUUGCGUCGUAUUGUAACCUCAACUAUCUUUUCCCCCUUAAUUAAUGGGUGAGGCAAAACUUAUGCCUCCAUUUUGAACAAAGAAAUUACACUCUGGACAUGUAUUCCUCGUAGCAUGGUAAAUAGAAGAGCGGGCUACGGAAAAUACACUUUGGUUCCUGAUUGUAUAUGCAUCCUAUAUGGGGAUUUUUUUAAUAUUUUAAUAAAAAGUCAAAAUAGGUAAGAACUAUUUUGAAAAAACACUUGACUUACUUUUGCACUGAUAUAUAAAUCUCGCCAAAAAAACAAAAGUUGACCUCAUAGCAAAAAAGACAAAAUUUAUUUGCUAUUAUAGGUCACUAUUCACAUUAUUUUAGUCAAAAUUUUGUCUUUUUUGAAAAGAAGUCAAAAGGAUAUUUUUUGUGGAUUUUAUUUCCCACGAGUACAAUAGAAGGUCAAGUUUAUUUGAAAAAUAUUUUCAGGAAUUUUUGACUUUUUGUUGAAUUACUAAUUUUUUUCCCAUAUAGGGUGCAUAUGUUCCAUAGACCAAAAGUUCCCCUCCAGCGGGCUACUGGCUAUAUACUGAUGAUGCCAUGUCAACUUUGAGCCGUGAUUAUCCCCCACAAUGUUCCAGACCAGUACGACUUGUAACACGUACAGCUCAUAUACUGGAGAGAAAGCUUUACCAGCCUCUCCGCUUGUGUCAGUAUAGGCGAAAGUUUUCAAUCCUUAAGAGAAAGAAAACAUAAAUAGGAUGGAGCAUCAGUUAGCGAUUUUAUUACGGGAUGUAAUCGAUCUCACGGCAACGACCACAUCGAUCUCGGCUUGUACAAAGCAGAAACUAAUCAACCUGUCUGGUCUGGCACACACCCACACACAGCUACUAUCAACAUGAACCGCCGCUUCGCUAGCUGCAACUGCAUGCCACUACCAGUUUAUUUCACGCCGGCCGCCGGCGCCAUCUAGCACUUCCUGCCCAGGCGCGGGUUGUUGGCAAAGCUGCACCAGAUCAACAAUGGAGAUGCAUGCAUGCAUGGUCAGCGCUCACGAGCAGUGGUGGAAGCAAUACAUGUAUAGCAUCAACUUGAGUAUGAGAACAAAUUGUCGUAUACUGUAGGCGGAUGUGCUAGUAGUGUACGUACCUACUCCGAGGUAUGCGCUGAAACGCUCCAGUCGUCGGAAUCGGGCCGCAGAGGUUGUUGUUUGA
rnacentral:lncRNA from 1 species